rnacentral:rRNA from 1 species
GUGCCAGCAGCCGCGGUAAUUCCAGCUCCAAUAGCGUAUAUUAAAGUUGUUGUGGUUAAAAAGCUCGUAGUUGAACCUUGGGCCUGGCUGGCCGGUCCGCCUCACCGCGUGCACUGGUCCGGCCGGGCCUUUCCCUCUGUGGAACCCCAUACCCUUCACUGGGCGUGGCGGGGAAACAGGACAUUUACUUUGAAAAAAUUAGAGUGCUCCAGGCAGGCCUAUGCUCGAAUACAUUAGCAUGGAAUAAUAAAAUAGGACGCGCGGUUCUAUUUUGUUGGUUUAUAGGACCGCCGUAAUGGUUAAUAGGGACAGUCGGGGGCAUCAGUAUUCAACUGUCAGAGGUGAAAUUCUUGGAUCAGUUGAAGACUAACUACUGCGAAAGCAUUUGCCAAGGAUGUUUUCAUUAAUCAGGAACGAAAGUUAGGGGAUCGAAGACGAUCAGAUACCGUCGUAGUCUUAACCAUAAACUAUGCCGACUAGGGAUCGGACGGUGUUAUUCAUGACCCGUUCGGCACCUUACGAGAAAUCAAAGUGCUUGGGCUCCAGGGGGAGUAUGGUCGCAAGGCUGAAACUUAAAGAAAUUGACGGAAGGGCACCACCAGGGGUGGAGCCUGCGGCUUAAUUUGACUCAACACGGGGAAACUCACCAGGUCCAGACACAAUAAGGAUUGACAGAUUGAGAGCUCUUUCUUGAUUUUGUGGUGGUGAUGCAUGACCGUUCUUAGUGGUGGGUGACUUGUCUGCUUAAUUGCGAUAACGAACGAGACCUUAACCUGCUAAAUAGCCCGCAUUGCUCCGGCAGUGCGCUGGCAUACU